GUAGGUGAACCUGCGGAAGGAUCAUUAACAAAUCCAUCGUUGUUCAUCCGUGCAUGCAUUCUGGGAUUGUGAUUGGUGGGACAGCAGUCUCGCUUGCUGCAUUCCCGGGAUGUGUGCAGGGAGGGAUGACACUUGCUCCAUGUGUGCACGUUCACUCUGCACACGUUGACACAUUUCUACGAAUCAUCUGAUUGUUGUUGUUGGAACUGAUAUGAAUAACUUUUAACAAUGGAUCUCUAGGCUCUUGCAU
rnacentral:misc_RNA from 1 species